UCCAUCUCUUUUAAGGUAAUAGUUGGUGGG
rnacentral:piRNA from 1 species